GGAGGAAGGUGGGGAUGACGUCAAAUCAUCAUGCCCCUUAUGUCUAGGGCUACACACGUGCUACAAUGGUGAGGACAAAGAGACGCAAGACCGCGAGGUGGAGCAAAUCUCACAAACCUCAUCCCAGUUCGGAUUGCAGGCUGAAACUCGCCUGCAUGAAGCCGGAGUUGCUAGUAAUCGCGAAUCAGCAUGUCCGCGGUCGAAUACGUUCCGGCCUU
rnacentral:rRNA from 1 species